UUAACAAGUUUCAAUUGAUAUUGAUUAUUAAUCACGUUUCCCCACCUUGAUGACACCUCAUAUUUGAACUUUCUCAGCCUCGAUAGUCUCACAACUCACAUAAGAAUGUAACAAAAGUUUGCCAACUUUAGCCAGCUAACCUUCACGAAACUUGAACCAAUUUUUUCAGUAACAUUAAGCUAAAACUUAACUAGCGCAGUAUCGAUAGCAUAGUUAACUUAACUACGACUCCUUCGGCAGUGAAAAAUCUAAAUGAUGUCUGGUUGGUCAUUCAACGGCACAAUGCAUUGAAAGACUUAACGUUAAAGUUUCACAUUAACUAAGGAAACAUGAGAGCUCGGCGAGGGAUAGAGCGUCCACAGACGGGACCGAACAGCAUGCUACACAUCGAUUGACAGAUCUGAGUAGCAGCAGCUAGCGUACUGUGGAAACUUUAUGAUGUCCAAGUUGGUGAAAUCUCUUUGCCUGUGAAUAGAACGCCAUCAGCAACUAUGGAGGACAAUGCAUGCAUGGUUUUAAAAAGUUUGAGUUCUGAAAUCAGUUGAUAAUGAGAUUAGUGUUAGGAGGCUCGUAGACAGGUGUCUUAAGGGAAGUCAGCCAUCCAGUACAAAUCAAGCUAGAGAAAGCCUGAAGUAUUGAUCACAGAUGUCAGAUUGUGUCUUUCUCAUCGUAUAACACUUCUUUCAAUCAGACCGUGGUUAGCAUCUGAACUGAGCCGCUUUACGAAGCAACGAUCCACCAUCACCGAACACAAAGGAGAAAUUUGGGGUUCAUCUGAGGUAGCAUCUCCCUGCCGCCCCAUAAAAAUUGACUGGUGCCUUAUGAGAAGGCUGCCUGCCACUGGUGCUGCUGACGUGCGUAGCCUACUCCGCUGAAGAGAUGGGCUGAUCCAUGGCCCCGUUAUUUUUACAUAAUCACUGAGUGGGAGGCUGGUGCUGAGAGAAGGGGGCUCAAGCAGUGGGCGAGAGAGAGAGAGAGAGAGAGAGAGAGAGAGAGAGAGAGAGUUCGGAGCCACUGAGAUGUGUGGGCAGACACCCUCAACAAAUGGAUACCAGUGCCUCAGCAUCUCAGUGUAGGGGAGGAAACUAUAAAAAAAAGGGAGUUAUGUAAAUACUCUUCAAAGCAUUGGUGACACACACACACCGGAUAUGGUUAUGAACUCCAGCAAUGCAAAAAUAUCCACAGAUUUUU